rnacentral:rRNA from 1 species
UACGAAGGGUGCAAGCGUUAAUCGGAAUUACUGGGCGUAAAGCGUGCGCAGGCGGCUUUGCAAGACAGAUGUGAAAUCCCCGGGCUUAACCUGGGAACUGCAUUUGUGACUGCAUGGCUGGAGUGCGGCAGAGGGGGAUGGAAUUCCGCGUGUAGCAGUGAAAUGCGUAGAUAUGCGGAGGAACACCGAUGGCGAAGGCAAUCCCCUGGGCCUGCACUGACGCUCAUGCACGAAAGCGUGGGGAGCAAACAGG